rnacentral:sRNA from 1 species
GGGCCGGACCAGCAAGCUCGGAGAAGGAAGCGGGCGAGCGGGGGCCGUUCCUUGGCCACCCGCCCGGGCUCCGGGAACAGCCUCACGUAUACAUAUCGAGCCUUCUCCACCGAUAGGUACCUGCACGGAUUCGGAUCGAAUUGGCGGAUGAUUUGAUUUGAUAGGGCAAAUCGGUGAUCUCUGAGUAGUGGGGGAUUGGGAUUGGGAAGGGAACCAGUUCCAGAUGCCGAUCUUGAAGGAAUCGGAGCGGCGGUAGGAGGAGGGGCCGAAGGUGUCGAUGCGCCACUGGGCCAGCCGGGAGAUGGUCUCCACCCGGUUCUCCCUCUCCAUCCCGCCGCCGCCGCCGCCGCCGCGCCGUCUCCUCUCACUCUACUUGUAAUAACUCCCGAAGCGGAAGGCAGGUGGUGGAAGAGCUGAUGCGCCGGCGGCGGCAGCAAGCUGGUGAGCAGGUUCCAGUCGACGAUGCCGGCUUGCUGAUCGACGUCGACGCAGCUGCUAGCCUGCGAGACGUAGCCCUCGCCGUCGACGAUGGUGGGGCUCUCCAGAGGCGGCAUCAUGUCGGAGAAGUGAAGCUUGGACUCUGAACUCAGAAUGUUGCUGUGGUCGACGACGCUGUUAUUGUUGUUGUUGGCGAAGAGAGCUGAGGCAGCGGCGCUCAUCAAUGGCCGCCCGGCGAAGCUAGGGUUGUCGUGGUGCAGCAGCAAGCUGUAGUUGUCGGGGACGGCGGCGUAGGCUCCGGCGCCGUAGCUGCCGGGGAUGCAGCCGUAGGACAGCCUGUGCUGCUGCUGGUUGGGCAUCGGCUUCUGAAACGCGCGGCAAACCACCCAACCUUCCUCCUGCAUCCAUAUUCCAUAUUAAUAUCCAUGAAUUAACAUAUAUAGUAGGACAGAUAAUUAAGUAAAGAAGUAAAAAAUUAAGAUGG